rnacentral:rRNA from 1 species
GGACUACAAGGGUUUCUAAUCCUGUUUGCUCCCCACGCUUUCGCACAUGAGCGUCAGUACCGGGCCAGUGAGCCGCCUUCGCCACUGGUGUUCUUCCGAAUAUCUACGAAUUUCACCUCUACACUCGGAGUUCCACUCACCUCUCCCGGACUCAAGAUCGCCAGUAUCGAAGGCAGUUCUGGAGUUGAGCUCCAGGAUUUCACCCCCGACUUAACCAUCCGCCUACGCGCGCUUUACGCCCAGUGAUUCCGAGCAACGCUAGCCCCCUUCGUAUUACCGCGGCUGCUGGCAC